UACGGAGGGUGCAAGCGUUGUUCGGAAUUAUUGGGCGUAAAGCGCGCGCAGGCGGCCUGGAAAGUCUAUGGGUGAAAUGCCGGGGCUCAACCCCGUGCAUGCCCAGGAUACUGCCAGGCUGGAGACACGUAGAGGCAGGCGGAAUUUCGGGUGUAGCGGUGGAAUGCGUAGAUAUCCGAAAGAACACCAGUGGCGAAGGCGGCCUGCUGGGCGUGAUCUGACGCUGAGGCGCGAAAGCGUGGGGAGCAAACAGG
rnacentral:rRNA from 1 species